rnacentral:misc_RNA from 1 species
GUGUAACUGGCCAAACAAGAUAAUAUACUAUUACUAUAGUAUGUGGUUUAUACUCGUACAACAACUCGGACUCAGUGCACGACGGUUGUCUGCAACAGCGUAUUAAAAUAAACAUACAUCCAAGAUGGUGGUCACUCUGUACAAGUUAGACGCCAGUCCACCAGUGCGAGCGGUGAAGAUGGUCAUCGCAGCCAUCAAUCUACCUGACGUGGAAUACGUUGACGUCAACCUGCUGGAACGCGAUCAAUUCAAUGAAAACUAUAUGAAGCUUAAUCCACAACACACGAUACCAACAUUGGUGGACGAUGACUUUGUUAUUUGGGAUAGCCAUGCCAUUUGUACGUAUCUCAUAAACAUGUACGCUGAAAACGACUCUCUGUAUCCAUCGGAACCGAAGAAACGAGGUCUGAUCGAUCAAAGACUGCACUUUGAUAGUGGCGUACUGUUCCCACCAGUACGAGAAGCAGUAGGCCCAGUGAUCUUCGGCAACGAAAAAUCUUUCAAGGCAGAAGUGCUACAAAAAAUCCAAACCGGCUACGAGUUCACGGACAAGUUCCUGACGGGGGAGUGGCUGGCGGGUGACGAGUUGACAGUGGCUGACGUCUGCUGCGUCGCCACUAUCAGCACUGCGAACGAGAUUCUGCCUAUUGAUGAAGAUUUAUUUCCAAAACUGGCCAAAUGGAUGAAGCGUUGUUCUGAACUGGAAAUAUAUAAAAAUGAAAACGAACCUGGGUUGAAAAUGUUCAGUCAAAUACUGAAGAGCAAAUUGGCUUAGACUCAUAUUGCUUAAGUCUAUGGGGGAUGGAGAUCGAUGCGAGAGACCUUUGCGUAACAGUAGGACAACGUAUAUUAAUAACUAGCUUUUGCCCGCGGCUUCGCUCGCGUUAGAAAGGGACAAAAAGUAGCCUAUGUCACUCUCCAUCCCUUCAACUAUCUCCACUUAAAAAAUCACGUCAAUUCGUCACUCCGUUUUGCCGUGAAAGACGGACAAACAAAUAGACACACACUUUUCUAUUUAUAAUAGUAUAGUAUGGAUAAAUAAAUAGUAUAAUAUUAUAGUUAUUUCAUAGUAUCAACAAAAACAGAGAGACAUGGCGACGGAAUACAAGAGCUGCCUUGCUGUAAAAUCGACUGUGAGAUUACUACAACCACUUUGACAAGAAUGCAACGACUGACAAGAAAAGAGAGGAGGUACAUAAUAGUACCUAUAGCUACAUGCAUAUGAAUAUAACAAAAGAAUAAUACAAAUUUCUCGGAACUUACAACGUACAUAUUUAUAUAUUUAGUGUCUACAAAAAAAAAAAAAAUAAAACAACCUCAGUUUUAAAUAUAGUUUCAUAAAAAACAAACAUGAUAUUUUUAAAAGUAAUACAAGCAGAUAAAUUAAAGCUAAUUUUAUCAAUGUUGUUUUAUUGAAUUGUCUACAAGGAAACUAUCCAAAAUGUAUUUCUCUGAAUCAUUACCAUUUUAAGGAGUUGAUUUUAAGUUUAAGUAUCUUAUUUUAAACUACCGCAAAGGCCUAAGUAACAUUAAAAUUAAUAGUACCUUCAUUUGUUUCUAUAUUUCUUGAUUCGCUUUUAAUGUAUGAAAUAUUAAAGGGGAGUACACAUAGAAGUUACAAAUUAAACAUCUAAAUUGACUCAUCAUUAAAAUUCAUUAUUUACACGUCGUUUACCCAACGCACGACAGCUGACUUUCCAAAUUAGUCUCCCCGCAUGCCGACUCGUACACUAACAAAUGCGAACAUCCUCAACUUGACACACGCUACUGACAAGACCCUUUAAGAUAAAGUGUUCCGCUUGAAUGAAUAAGAUAUGAGAGCCGGCGACGGAGUUAAUAUUAAUGAGGCUGUUACAGGCUGUUUACAAUUGUUCCAACGUUGCCGACGGGCUUACCGCGAACCACGUUCGACUUACUGUCGUGUUUCAGUUACAUAUGGUUUUUAUAUGAGCUUAGUGUCCCACUGCCACUUGCAAACAUGCCACUUGAAAUCGCCGCGCCGUCGAGGUUUGCUGCGGCACAUGUGACUACGUCUGCGAAAUAUCUGAAGAAGUUCUUACGCUUACAAUAUCAGAGUCGUGGUCAGACAUGAGAUUUUUAUGAGCUUAGAGUCCUACUGCAGGGCAAAGACCUCCCUGUUCAUGUAUUGGGUCUUGGCCUGUUUUCUAACAGUCCUUAAUAUCAAAGGCGUCACGGUCAUCUCGCCAACGCCAUCGAGUUUUGAUGCGACUCAUGUGGUUACAUCUGCACAAUCUGAAGACGUUUUUAUACUGACAGUAUUAUAGUCCUGUAUAGAUGUUUUUGUUCGCGUAAGUGUGCAGGUACAUGUAACUGAACGCGACUGUACCUCUCUGUAACAGCCUUUUUAUUAUAACUGUUGGCAGUACCUACCCAAUGGCUCUAGCUUUACAAGAUGCGUAUGAGUGCCCGUUGAACAUUGGAGUCUGAACAUGGAGUCCACUCCGAAUUCUGACAUCCCACGACAUCCUAAUAUGGAUUGAAUCUGUUUAUUUUAUUAUUACUACUGCAUUAUUAUAUUACCAUGUUUGAAAUGAAUAUUUUUUAUCGAGAUUACGUAGAUAUUGCUGAGAUGUGCCAAUAAAGAGUAGGUAUUCUAUCUAUCUAAAUAUAGGACAAUGUAAACUUUGUAACACACAUGGGUAUCGAAAAUCUACAAUUGUAAAGUUCUACGCGUCCCUGUCACACUUACGUACGAAUUUACAAGUGUCGUACAAAGUUACACAUGUCGAACGUGGUUCGUAGUAGGCCCUCUCAAACUUAAACCAUCAGGGACGGUGAAUUGGUUAACCGUUUUUAAAAACUUCUUGUUUGUAAAUUGUAAAACAAAAAAAGGUAUUUUUUUGUUUAAUCGUUUUGUAUAAUAUUAAUACUAGUUUUAUAUGUAACUAACUUUUGGCCGCGUUCUAAAUUAUCUUUCGCAUAAAAUAAUCAAAAUAAUCUUGUUUUCCCAAACAAACUUUGAACCCCCAUUUCACCCCUUUAGGGACGAAUUUUGAAAACUACUUUCUCUGUACACCUUGCCAAUGUGUAAUUUCUAGGACCAGCGGUGUCGGCUAUGCGUUGAUAUGUCAGUCAGUCAGUUUCUUCUUUUAUAUAUUUAGAUUGAGCUGAAUCACCAAAAUUCCCGUUAAGUUUGUACAUUUGGA